rnacentral:rRNA from 1 species
GAUGAACGCUGGCGGCGUGCCUAAUACAUGCAAGUCGAGCGAAAAGACGAACAGCUUGCUCCUCUGACGUUAGCGACGGACGGGUGAGUAACACGUGGAUAACCUACCUCUAAGACUGGGUUAACUUCGGGAAACCGGAUCUAAUACCGGAUCAUAUAUUGAACCGCAGGGUUCGUUAGUGAAAGACGGUUUUGCUGUCACUUAUAGAGGGAUCCACGCUGCUUUAGCUAGUUGUUAAGGUAACGGCUUACCAAGGCUACGAUGCGUAGCCGACCUGAGAGAGUGAUCGGCCACACUGGAACUGAGACACGGUCCAGACUCCUAAGGGAGGCAGCAGUAGGGAAUCUUUCGCAAUGGGCGAAAGCCUGACGGAGCAAGGCCGCGUGAGUGAUGAAGGUCUUCGGAUCGUAAAACUCUGUUAUCAGGGAAGAACAGAUGUGGAAGUAAAUAUGCAGGUCUUGACGGUACCUAAACAGAAAGCCACGGCUAACUACGUG